rnacentral:rRNA from 1 species
GGGGAAUAUUGCACAAUGGGCGAAAGCCUGAUGCAGCAACGCCGCGUGAGUGAUGAAGGCCUUCGGGUUGUAAAGCUCUGUCUUCUGGGACGAUAAUGACGGUACCAGAGGAAGAAGCCCCGGCUAACUACGUGCCAGCAGCCGCGGUAAUACGUAGGGGGCAAGCGUUAUCCGGAUUCAUUGGGCGUAAAGAGCGCGUAGGCGGCUUGUUAAGCGAGAUGUGAAAACCGGGGGCUUAACCCGCGGCCUGCAUCUCGAACUGGCAGGCUUGAGUCUGGUAGAGGAGUGUGGAAUUCCCAGUGUAGCGGUGAAAUGCGCAGAUAUUGGGAGGAACACCAGUGGCGAAGGCGGCACUCUGGGCCACGACUGACGCUGAGGCGCGAAAGCUAGGGGAGCAAACA